rnacentral:misc_RNA from 1 species
UGGAAGUACUUGUUCGAUGGC